rnacentral:rRNA from 1 species
AUUGAACGCUGUCGGCAGGCCUAACACAUUCCAGUCGAACGGUAACAGGAAGCAGCUUGCUGCUUUGCUGACUAGUGGCGUACGUGUGAGUAAUUUCUGGGAAACUGCCCGAUGGAGGGGGAUAACUACUGGCACCGGUAGCUACUACCGCAUAACGUCGCAAGACCACAGAGGGGGACCUUAGGGCCUCUUGCCAUCGGAUGUGCCCAGAUUGGAUUAGCUAGUAGGUGGGGUAACGGCUCACCUCGGCGACGAUCCCUAGCUGGUCUGAGAGGAUGACCAGCCACACUGGAACUGAGACACGGUCCAGAAUAAGAAGGGAGGCAGCAGUGGGGAAUAUUGCAAAAGGGGCGCAAGCCUGAUGCAGCCAUGCCGCGUGUAUGAAGAAGGCGUUCGGGUUGGAAAGUACUUUCAGCGGGGAGGAAGGGAGUAAAGUUAAUACCUGUGCUCAUUGACGUUACACGCAGAAGAAGCAACGGCUAACUACGUG